CACGCCGUAAACGAUGGGUGCUAGGUGUUGGGGGUAUCGACCCCUCCAGUGCCGGAGCAAACGCAAUAAGCACCCCGCCUGGGGACUACGGCCGCAAGGCUGAAACUCAAAGGAAUUGACGGGGGCCCGCACAAGCGGUGGAGCAUGUGGUUUAAUUCGAUGCUACGCGAAGAACCUUACCAGGGUUUGACAUGCCCCGAAGCCCUUAGAAACAAGGGCGUGCCUUCGGGAGCGGGGACACAGGUGG
rnacentral:rRNA from 1 species